rnacentral:rRNA from 1 species
UUGAACGCUGGCGGCAGGCCUAACACAUGCAAGUCGAGCGGAUGAGGGGAGCUUGCUCCUGGAUUCAGCGGCGGACGGGUGAGUAAUGCCUAGGAAUCUGCCUGGUAGUGGGGGAUAACGUCCGGAAACGGGCGCUAAUACCGCAUACGUCCUGAGGGAGAAAGUGGGGGAUCUUCGGACCUCACGCUAUCAGAUGAGCCUAGGUCGGAUUAGCUAGUUGGUGGGGUAAAGGCCUACCAAGGCGACGAUCCGUAACUGGUCUGAGAGGAUGAUCAGUCACACUGGAACUGAGACACGGUCCAGACUCCUACGGGAGGCAGCAGUGGGGAAUAUUGGACAAUGGGCGAAAGCCUGAUCCAGCUAUGCCGCGUGUGUGAAGAAGGUCUUCGGAUUGUAAAGCACUUUAAGUUGGGAGGAAGGGCAGUAAGUUAAUACCUUGCUGUUUUGACGUUACCAACAGAAUAAGCACCGGCUAACUUCGUG